AGGGUUUGAUCAUGGCUCAGAACGUACGCUGGCGGCACGCCUAACACAUGCAAGUCGAACGAAGUAGCAAUACUUAGUGGCAGACGGGUGAGUAACAUGUAGGUAUCUGCCCUUUGGCCUGGAAUAACACGAGGAAACUUGUGCUAAUACCGGAUAAGUCUUUACGGAGAAAGCUUUAUGCACCAUUGGAUGAGCCUGCACUUGAUUAGUUUGUUGGUGGGGUAAUGGCCUACCAAGACUGUGAUCAAUAGCUGAUUUGAGAGGAUGAUCAGCCACAUUGGGACUGAGACACGGCCCAAACUCCUACGGGAGGCAGCAGUGGGGAAUCUUGCACAAUGGAGGAAACUCUGAUGCAGCGAUGCCGCGUGAGUGAAGAAGGCCUUUGGGUUGUAAAGCUCUUUCGUCGGGGAAGAAAAUGACUGUACCCGAAUAAGAAGGUCCGGCUAACUUCGUGCCAGCCGCCGCGGUAAUUC
rnacentral:rRNA from 1 species